AUGUGGUGUUCGGGAGGAUCGUGCGCGUCUGUCCGGUAUCUAUCGUCCAAGUCUCCAUGAACGGGGCGAGCAACCCAUAGAGGGUGUCAGGCCCGUAGACAAGACGAGCCGAGACCGUGCAUCGGAUCCCUUCCCAAGAGUCGGGUUGCUUGAGCGUGCAGCCCUAAGCGGGAGGUAAACUCCUUCUAAGGCUAAAUAUCGCCACGAGACCGAUAGCGAACAAGUACCGCGAGGGAAAGUUGAAAAGAACUUUGAAGAGAGAGUUCAAGAGUGCGUGAAACCGUUCAGGGGGUUAAACGGGUGGGCCCUCGAAGGUCGAACGAGCCCCCGCUCCCGGCACUUGGUUGCAUGCCCUUAGCUUGCGUGGAGACCUGUCUGAAUUGGCGGCUCCGAUCGCUCAUGCUUUGGCCCGCAAUAGCCGCGCCAAGGUCCGCAAGUGGGGGGCCUAGUAGGACUCCGCGACCGACUGGGUGUCUGUUACACGGGGCGUUUCCGUUAGCGAGUUUCGCGGUUGCCUUCGCGGGUGCCGCGGUGACGAGCGCGGCGUUUCCCAACAGUACUGCCCGGUCGUGACCUGUCUCCUCCCGGGAGGUGUCGUUUUUUGUACUAGUCAAAUAGUACGGGCGGCGCUCAACCUGUGGAGGCCCAGAGCGGAGAGUAGAAGUCGGGUCCCACCCGACCCGUCUUGAAACACGGACCAAGGAGUCUAACAUGUGCGCGAGUCGUCGAGAUCAUUUGUUUCAACUAAACUCGCGAGGCGCAAUGAAAGUGAAGCGGCCCCGAUGAGGGUGCAUCCGCGAGGGGUGAUCCCGUCUCGAACAGAGCGGGCGCAACCCCUGGGCGUUCGAAUGCUCGCGAGAUCUUUCCCCCUUAAAAGGGUUUGAUCGAGUCGGCCGGACGAACCAAGAGCGCACACGUUGGGACCCGAAAGAUGGUGACCUAUGCCUGGCCAGGACGAAGCCAGGGGAAACCCUGGUGGAGGUCCGCAGCG
rnacentral:rRNA from 1 species